rnacentral:tRNA from 1 species
GAGGUUGUAGCUCUGUGGUAGAGUGCUUGCCUAGUAUGUAUGAGGCACUGGGUUCAAUUCUCAGCACCACA